rnacentral:tRNA from 2 species
GCCGAAAUAGCUCAGUUGGGAGAGCGUUUGACUGAAGAUCUAAAGGUCCCUGGUUCGAUCCCGGGUUUCGGCA